GCAGACAGGCUGGAAAAACAAAGGGACUUACAAAUCAUUCAUCUCCGUGUGUAUUAGCUGAUAAAGAAGAAAGUAUUUGCAAACCAUUACAACUCCCUUGGAAAAGUAUGUCGAGAGAGACUCGUCGUCUAUGGUGGAUUUUAGAUUUCGUCAGUCUUUCUCUCCUCCUCCUCCUCAUUGUCCUCCUCCUGCUCCUCCUCCUAAUCCAUAGCUUCCUACCACGUAGCCCAAGCUGGUGAAGAGAAAGGUCCAGAAGCGUUGCAUGAAACCUAAUGGAAUUAGCAUUUGAGAGAACACAAGCUGGAAGAGAGGAAAGCCAGAAAACCAGUGUGCUGGCUUAGACACAGAGGUGCAUGACAUGGCUGGAGGUCCACCUUCCCACCCUUGUGCUCUCCCCAAAAAGGAAGAAAAAAUCAAGUCCAGUUUGUGUUGCCUGUAUACUCACUGGAGUGUGGACAGACCCCAGUGGCCAGCCCUUUAAAGAAAACUGAGUCCUACCCGGGCGUUGUGGCACUCCGGAGGCGGAGGCAGGCAGAUCCCUGUGAGUUCAAAGCCAGCCUGGUCUAAUAGCAAGUUCAAGACAGCUACAUAGAGAUCUUGUCUCAAACAAACAAACAACAACAAAAAGUCUCUCACCCGGAAGGAGGUCUCCAAAAGCUAAGCUCCUUUAUGUUCAUGCUCCUAUAUCCAUAAAGACAUAAGCAACAGUAAGGGGACACAUGAGUGUUUAAAAAUUGAAGGGUGAGGGGAC